rnacentral:rRNA from 1 species
ACGAACGCUGGCGGCGUGCUUAACACAUGCAAGUCGAACGGAAAGGCCUUUUCGGAGGUACUAGAGUGGCGAACGGGUGAGUAACACGUGGGUGAUCUGCCCUGCACUCUGGGAUAAGCCUGGGAAACUGGGUCUAAUACCGGAUAGGACCGCACUUUAGUGUGUGUGGUGGAAAGUUUUUUCGGUGUAGGAUGAGCCCGCGGCCUAUCAGCUUGUUGGUGGGGUAAUGGCCUACCAAGGCGGCGACGGGUAGCCGGACUGAGAGGUUGGUCGGCCACAUUGGGACUGAGAUACGGCCCAGACUCCUACGGGAGGCAGCAGUGGGGAAUAUUGCACAAUGGGCGCAAGCCUGAUGCAGCGACGCCGCGUGGGGGAUGACGGCCUUCGGGUUGUAAACUCCUUUCGCCAGGGACGAAGCGUUUUGUGACGGUACCUGGAGAAGAAGCACCGGCUAACUACGUG